UACGUAGGGUGCAAGCGUUAAUCGGAAUUACUGGGCGUAAAGCGUGCGCAGGCGGUUUUGUAAGUCUGUCGUGAAAGCCCCGGGCUUAACCUGGGAAUUGCGAUGGAGACUGCAAGGCUUGAAUCUGGCAGAGGGGGGUAGAAUUCCACGUGUAGCAGUGAAAUGCGUAGAGAUGUGGAGGAACACCGAUGGCGAAGGCAGCCCCCUGGGUCAAGAUUGACGCUCAGGCACGAAAGCGUGGGGAGCAAACAGG
rnacentral:rRNA from 1 species